UAAUCGCCUACCCUAAUUUACUCCGAAAUCAAGAUACCGCCGCUCUUCUUCCCACAUCCAUCUUCUGAUGAUUAUGUUCUUCUUCGUUGAUUCAAUCCAGUCUCCUUCCUUCAAAAGGUUUGAUCUUUUUUUAUGUUUAUAUCAAUAUUAUUGCGAUUAGGGUUUCCUCUGGUUCAAUCGAUUUCUCCAGCUAUUCCUUCGAUGUUUGAAUUUGAUCUUUUUAUCAUCACAAAUGUUAGAUUUCAUAUAUUAAUUUAUUAUCAUACUUGAUUUACUUAAACAUUUUGAUUAUUCUUUACUUUGUUUUGUAUCUCGCAUCGAUAAUCAACCAUCUUCUCCAUGUGGCAUCGACGGCGCCACCGGCACCAUUCUGGUCUCUCACUGAACCCUCUACGGCGGAUUAUUCUCUCAUCAAAAGUCGCAAAAUCAAUUUUUUACGGCGGUUUAAUCAAUCGAUUGUUGCUUCAGUGCGAGAGUCUUCCUGUGUGAAGACUAUGGAUUCGCAAAAGGCAAAAGAGGUGGAGUGAACGGCUAACGAAGUUAGGGAUUUUGUGUUUUUGUAUUAUAAUAGUUCAUAUAAGCGUGAAGAUGAGAAACAUGAAAAUGAUCACGUUACUCAUUCUAACGUGUUGGACUCUGGACAGAUUACACAGGCUGAUGUUGAAGAGGCUACAAUUAUUACCUUUGACAUGAUUCUAGAAAACAAGCAGAUGGUUAAACCAGAGAGUAGAGGUACACUUAUCAAGUUCAUGCAACUAAUGGUGUCUCAUCAUCUUUCCAGAAGGUUAGAAGGUUCGAUAAACCCCCUUGAAAAAACUUUUAAGAUAAUUAAUUUUGAUAUUUGCUUAAAAUAAUAGAGUAAAAAGCCAUUUUCGUCUCUGAGGUUUGGCCAGUUUUCCGACUUUCAUCCAAAGGUUUGUUUUUCCACAUUUGGUUCCAAAAGGUUUAAAAUGGCAAGAUUUUUAACCUUUUGGAUCCAGAUGCGGAAAAACAAACCUUUAGACGAAAGUCGCAGAACUGGCCAAACCUCGGGGACGAAAAUGACAUUUUACUCAAAGUAAUAUAAAGUCUGGAGGGGAACUGCUGAUAUACUUGUCAAUUUUGAUGAUUUAUAUCUUUCAAAAAAACAUGGUCUUUUGGAUAAAUUUGGCAUCUAUGGAAAAGAAGCUCCUUGGGGAUAUUGGACGUUUUGUCAUCGCAACUCGCAGUACGAAUGAUACCAGAGGCUUCAGUUGUGGUUUAUGGGUUCUGUUACAUUCAAUCUCAGUGAGAAUGGAAACCGGAGAAAGUCAAAUGGCGUUCACAACUACUUGCGUAUCAGACUUUAUUACCUUAAUGCAUGAGUAAAAAUAAAAGAUAAGAAAUUCUUAUCCUUCUUUUCAAUUUUCUUAUUCUAAUAAGUUUCUAAUUCAAUACGGCAUUCUAGGGCGAUAGCUGCGGCUAGCUGUUUGUUUGGUGCACUUGCUUGGUUUUGGCGGUCACGACAGAAGAACCGGAAGCCAAGAAGAAGUUGAAGCUGAUGAGACCGGGAUAUAGUUGGUGUGCAAAAGCAAAGAUGAGAGUGUGGUGAGGGAGCAGUAAUAGUGUUGGGAGAUCUUGCAGAUGCACUUGGUUCAAAUGUGAAGAUGAUAUUCAGAUAUAUGACAUUCUAUGGUGAGUUCUUGGGAGAAUUCCUUCAGUCUGAAUAUGAACAACUCAAGGAGACUGCUACCUGGGCCCAAGGGAUGAUUGGGUGCGUAUUUUCGGUAUGUGGCUGAUCGGCGUGCCGAAUUUGAGCAGCUGGAGUAUACAGAUGAUGAUUAUCAAAAGGAACUUGAGCAUAUUGAGAAGGUUUUUGUCCCCUUGGUUGAAAAAUGCAAGAAAUACGGAAGAGCGAUGGGUAUUGGAACAAAUCACGGGAGUCUUUCAGAUCGUAUCAUGAGUUACUUUGGUGAUUCUCCUAGGGGAAUGGUUGAAUCUGCAUUUGAGUUUGCAAGAAUCUGCAGGAAAUUAGACUUCCAUAACUUUGUAUUUUCAAUGAAAGCAAGCAAUCCUGUGAUUAUGGUUCAAGCAUAUCGUCUUCUUGUAGCCGAAAUGUAUGUUCAGGGUUGGGACUAUCCUUUGCAUUUGGGAGUCACCGAAGCUGGUGAGGGUGAAGAUGGACGUAUGAAAUCCGCAAUCGGUAUCGGGACACUUCUUCAGGUAUCUCCAUAAUAAGUUGACAGGAUCCAUUCCUCCUGAGCUCGGGAAUAUGUCGAAGCUCUAUUACCUGGAACUAGCUUACAUGUCAUAUUCCACCGGAGCUUGGAAAACUCACCGACCUGUUUGACCUGUAAAUUCUGCAAUUCCCAAUUAUUUAACCUGAUUCUGUUUUUUUCUUUCGGAAGUUAAUUAUGGUGUGUGAUUCUAGGAAGAAAAAUUAGGAAACUUUAAACAUGAUGAGUUAGGCUUGAACUUCGGUGAAGAGGAUUAUGGUAUAUGAUGGUUAUGGCGAUGGUUUUCUUCAUAUGUCAUAUUUUGUUAAUCUGAUUAUUAUUUAUUAUUUUGAUUCAUGUUAAUCUGAAUUCGCGUUUCGUUUCGAUC